rnacentral:rRNA from 1 species
AAGGUGCUUGCACCUUUCAAGUGAGUGGCGAACGGGUGAGUAACACGUGGACAACCUGCCUCAAGGCUGGGGAUAACAUUUGGAAACAGAUGCUAAUACCGAAUAAAACUUAGUGUCGCAUGACACAAAGUUAAAAGGCGCCUCGGCGUCACCUAGAAUGGAUCCGCGGUGCAUUAGUUAGUUGGUGGGGUAAAGGCCUACCAAGACAAUGAUGCAUAGCCGAGUUGAGAGACUGAUCGGCCACAUUGGGACUGAGACACUGCCCAAACUCCUACGGGAGGCUGCAGUAGGGAAUCUUCCACAAUGGGCGAAAGCCUGAUGGAGCAACGCCGCGUGUGUGAUGAAGGCUUUCGGGUCGUAAAGCACUGUUGUAUGGGAAGAACAGCUAGAAUAGGAAAUGAUUUUAGUUUGACGGUACCAUACCA